AUUGAACGCUGGCGACAUGCCUUACACAUGCAAGUCGAACGGCAGCACGGGUGCUUGCACCUGGUGGCGAGUGGCGAACGGGUGAGUAAUACAUCGGAACAUGUCCUGUAGUGGGGGAUAGCCCGGCGAAAGCCGGAUUAAUACCGCAUACGAUCUACGGAUGAAAGCGGGGGACCUUCGGGCCUCGCGCUAUAGGGUUGGCCGAUGGCUGAUUAGCUAGUUGGUGGGGUAAAGGCCUACCAAGGCGACGAUCAGUAGCUGGUCUGAGAGGACGACCAGCCACACGGGGAGUGAGACACGGCCCAGACUCCGACGGGAGGCAGCAGUGGGGAAUUUUGGACAAUGGGCGAAAGCCUGAUCCAGCAAUGCCGCGUGUGUGAAGAAGGCCUUCGGGUUGUAAAGCACUUUUGUCCGGAAAGAAAUCCUUGGCCCUAAUACGGUCGGGGGAUGACGGUACCGGAAGAAUAAGCACCGGCUAACUACGUG
rnacentral:rRNA from 1 species